rnacentral:rRNA from 1 species
UACGUAGGGUGCAAGCGUUGUCCGGAAUUAUUGGGCGUAAAGAGCUCGUAGGCGGCCUGUCGCGUCGGAUGUGAAAGCCCGGGGCUCAACCCCGGGUCUGCAUUCGAUACGGGCAGGCUAGAGUUCGGUAGGGGAGAUCGGAAUUCCUGGUGUAGCGGUGAAAUGCGCAGAUAUCAGGAGGAACACCGGUGGCGAAGGCGGAUCUCUGGGCCGAUACUGACGCUGAGGAGCGAAAGCGUGGGGAGCGAACAGG